rnacentral:rRNA from 1 species
AUUGAACGCUGGCGGCAGGCCUAACACAUGCCAGUCGAGCGAGCGGCGGACGGGUGAGGUAUGUCUGGGAAACUGCCUGAUGGAGGGGGAUAACUACUGGGAACGGUAGCUCAUACCGCAUACCAUCAGAUGUGCCCAGAUGGGCUUAGCUAGUAGGUGGGGUAACGGCUCACCUAGGCGACGAUCCCUCGCUGGUCUGAGAGGAUGACCGGCCACACUGGAACUGAGACACGGUCCAGACUCCUACGGGAGGCAGCAGUGGGGAAUAUUGCACAAUGGGCGCAAGCCUGAUGAAGCCAUGCCGCGUGGGUGAAGAAGGCCUUCGGGUUGUAAAGCACUUUCAGCGGGGAGGCGUUACCCGCAGAAGAAGCACCGGCUAACUCCGUGCCAGCAGCCGCGGUAAUAC